GGAGUUGCCGACAGCAUAAAUUGGGGAUUUAUAGUUCAACAUUAAUGACAGUGAGUUUUAUUUUGUUUAUAAUCCCGAUGAAUUUUAUUGUUCUGUUCUACUAUUCAUUUUCCCCAAAUAUUUCCCCAAGGUCGAUCUCCUUCUCGCCGGAUUUUUCGGAACUCUCCUUCUCGUCGGAUUUUUCGCAACUCUCCUAGCUUCUCACCGGAGGUAAUGUUCUUCAUUUCUUCAAUCGUUUAUUUCAAUCCAUCUUGAAAUUCAAAUCUCCUUCUCCUUCUCGUCUGGAUUGUUAGAGGGUGAUCGAUCGCCGGUCGGUCACUGAUCACCUUCAAAUCGAUGCAUCAGUGGUCCAGUAUACGAAAAUCAUACAUCAGUGAUCCAGCAUACAUCAGUGGUCCACCAAUUGUUUAUUGUUUGCUCUCCCCUUGAAUAUAAUAUCCAUGAACUUGUGUAAAUAAUGCCCAAGCGGUCCAGCAUACGAAAAUCCAAAGAGCUGAAAAAAAGAUAGAAUAGAUAAAAGAUUUGUCUGAUAACUUGAUGUUAAAAUGAUUGAAUGAUUCCUUUUUAAGUCCACCAUUAGCACUCCCAAACCUGACUAAAUCUAUGUGGAACUUUCGUCAAACAUAUAAACCCUUACUAUUAAUUGAAUAUACCAUGCCCAUUUGAGGUCCUAUCUUUCUACAAUAAUAGCUGUGAAAUAAUAAUUAUUAUUACAUUUUUUGUAUUACAAUUACCACACUAAUUUGUGGUGAUAAAUGAUUUAUAUUGUAUUGUAUUACAAUCACCUAAUUUUUCUACCAUAUAGGCUUAUUUUGUUAUUUUUAAAUUCUGAUUUUUCUUCAGAAUUUUGUAUCUGGUUUAGUUUGUGGUUUGCUAGUAUUGGACUGUGAUAGGAGGAAGGAUGGGAAUCGAUGGAGGCAGGGAAUGGAACAGUGUUUGGGCUGCUUCAGCCGUUACUUGAGGUUAAUUAAAACCCUUCAAUUUGGAAAUUUCAUUGAUAAAAAUAAUAGGUUUUGAAGCAAGGUAUUUAUAUUACCGAUUAUAAUUUUAUUGACUAAAUUACCCUUACUACUUAAAAGAAAUUACGGUUCUCUAAUUCCCUUUGAUUUCUCCAUCGGCCCCUUCCAAUUAGGUUUCAUAACCCGCCAACCGGGUACUCGGGUACCGGUUCCUCCGACUCUGAUUAGCAAUCCCCAAAGUGACAGUUGGGAGAUUGUUAUUCCCUUCCUCUGCCGGUGACUUGACGACGCCGUCCUCCAACUUGUCGGGUCCAUCUCCCAACUCCUGGAUCAACCGUCGCGUCUCCUCCAACAUCGCGUUCUGGUAAGUCUCCCUAUCAUUUCCAUCCUCCAUAAGAUUACCCUUGACCUCAAGGUUAAUGGUUGGAAAUAACCUUGACAAGGUUACCUUGUCUUCCCAUGAGCUCUUUUCCUCUUCCAGACCAUGCCAUUUAAUUCGUAUUUGCUCUACAGGCUUCCCGUCGACCAGCAGCGUCCUCUCCUCCAGCACCUCCUCCGGAAAAAUAACGGGCUAGUUAUUCACAGCUAAAUCUGGUAAGCAAUUGAAUUUCUUUGGGGGAAGCUCACCCUUGUAUAAUUUGAGCACUGAAAUAUGAAAAAUUGGGUGUAUAGCACUGUUAGUAGGCAAUGUAAUUUUAUAGGCAAUUGUACUGAUUUUCUUUUCGACUUGAAAUGACCCUAAAUAUCGGGGAGAUAGCUUGUGGUGAAAUCUGUAUGCUACAGACAUUUGCCGAUAGGGUUUCAACUUGACAAAAACCCAAUCUAUGUGAGUUCUGUGUUGAUUCGCUUGCCUUUUCAUUGCUUCUUUAGCCUUUUCUAAGUUGAUCUUGAUCAGCUCCACAACUUCAGAUCUCCUGUCCAGCUCUUCUUUUACCGAUAUCUCUGAGAUUUCUUCUCUUGGAAGCUCAGUGAAUGUGUUGACUUCUCUAUCAUAUAAUGCCAUAAAUGGUGUCAUGCCAAUAGAUAUAUUGAAUGUGGAAUUAUGCCACAACUCAGCCUAUGGUAGCAUCUCUAACCACUUCCUUGGUUUCUCAUAAGCCACUGACCUUAAGAACAUUUCAAUGCCUCUAUUGGUUACUUCAGUUUGUCCACGGUCUCCGGAUGGUAGGCAGUUGAUAAUUUCAAGGUUGUUCCACUCAACCUAUGAAUUUCCCUCCAAAAGCUACUUGUGAAGACCUUGUCCCUGUCAGAAAUAAUUGUAGAAGGUACCCCAUGCAAUUUUAUUAUAUUAUCAACAAAAAAUUUAGAAACCAUUUUGGAGGUGUAACCAGUUGGUAAGGCCCCAAGGUGACAGAACUUAGUUAAUCUGUCCACAACUACCACAAUUACAGAUUCGCCUUUGAUACAUGGUAGAUGGGUGAUAAAGUCUGUGGAUAUGUCUUUCCAAACUUUGUUAGGAGUUGGUAGUGGCAUUAGGAGACCUUGUGGCUUAGAGGUUUGAGAUUUCAUCAUUUGACAAACCAUACAUGUUUGCACAUAUUUUUGAAUUCUUUUGCUCAUGCUCCUCCACCAGAAAAGUUGCUUUAUCCUCUUGCUUGUUCUUUCCACCCCCGAGUGACCCCCUAUUGGGUUGUCAUGGUACUCCCUCAAGAUAUUAGAAAUUAAUAUGGAUUCUUGGUUUAAAACAUACCUCUUGUUGUAAAAAAUCCUCCCUUCUAUUGCUUCAAACUAAUUGUUCCUUUCCAAGCCUUGUUCAAUAUUGUUUCUAAGCUUCAAUAGCUCAAUGUUAGACUCUUGUUCUUUUACUACUUCAACCAGAUUAUUUAGCACCUUAGAUAGGCUGAGUAUAGAGCCAUCUUGAUUAAUCUGUUCUUCAAACUCUCUAGAUAAGGCAUCAACAACCUUGUUUUCCUUUCCCGGCCUGUAUAGUAUAGAAUAUUUAUACCCAAGUAAUUUGCAGAGAAAUUUCUGUUGCUCUGGAGUUUGAAUGAUCUGAGAUACCAUAUUUUGAUACUAUGGUGAUUAGUGUGAAUUAUAAAUUGGUGGCCUAAGAGAUAGUGUCUCCACUUUCCUAUAGCUUGAGUGAUUGCAUACAUUUAUUUCGCAUAAGUUGAAGCUAGCAUCAUUCUCCCUGUUAACUUGGCACUAUAGUAUGCAAUAGGAUGUCCAUUCUGACUCAAAACAGCCCCAAUUCCCCCUUGACUAGCAUCUGUUUCAACGACGAAUUCUUGAGUGAAAUCUGGAUGACUAAGAACCGGUGCUUGUGUUAGAGCUUCCUUUAGUAUUUUCAUACUGUUUGUUGCUGCCUCAGACUACAGAAAAUUAUCAUUCUUUAGUAAAUCAGUUAGUGGGGCAGCCAAGUGAGCAUAAUUCUUUACGAACUUUCUAUAAUAGCCCGAUAUUCCCAAAAAUCCUCUUAAGCCCUUGAUAGAUUUUGGAGUGGGCCAAGCUUGGAUUGCUUUCACUUUUUCAGGAUCUGGUUGGACCCCCAUUCCUGAGAUAAUAUGUCCCAAAAAUUGCAAUUUACUCCUCCCAAAUGAGCAUUUUGACUUUUUUGCAAACAGUGAAUUAUUCCUUAACACCAUCAAAACUUCUUCCAAGUGCUUGAUAUGGCUAUCCAUGGUAGGGCUGAAAAUCAAGAUGUCAUUGAAAAAUAUUAGUACAUAUUUUUUCAAUAAAGGUCUGAAAAUUCUGUUCAUUGUCACUUGAAAGGUGGCCGGGGCAUUUGUUAACCCAAAUAGCAUUACAAGGAAUUCGUAAUGUCCUUGGUGGGUUCUGAAAGCUAUUUUCUCAAUGUUCUUUGGAUUUAUUAGUAUUUGAUGAAUUGAUGGUACCCGGAUCUUAAAUCCAAUUUAGAAAAAAAAUUUGCACCCUUGAGCUCAGCUAGUAACUCAUCUACUGUAAGGAUGGGGAAUUUGUCUUUGAUGGUGAUAGAGUUCAAUGCUCUAUAAUCCACACAGAGUCUCCAUGAUCCGUCUUUUUUCUUUACCAACAGUAUAGGUGAAGAUUAAGGGCUGCAACUCUCCCUAAUGAUGCCCUGUUGAAGCAUAUCCUGCACCAUCCUCUCUAUUUCAUCUUUCUGAAAUUGUGCAUGUCUGUAUGGUCUUAUACUGACUGGUGGAGCUGCUGGUUGUAGGUGUAUUUUAUGAUUUUGGCUUCUAGGUGGUGGAAGUCCCAUUGGUUCUUCAAAAACAUCUUGAAAUUCGCUAAUUUUCAGCUCUAACUCCUUAUUUCUUUGUUGUUAUGUUUCAGCAAUUAAUACUUCCUUAGAAUUCUCCACAUAUUGUAAUCUACAGAAAAAAGCAUUAACUGAUGUGGCUGCCAAGUUUUUUAGUUCGUUUGUAGAGUAAGGCUCAUCCGAGACUAGUGUUUCACCCAUCCAUCUGAUCCAUUUCCCCUGCCAAUCAAAUUCUAUUGUCAUGUCAGUGUAAUCAGAUAGUACCUUUUCCACAGAUUUAAACCAUUGUAUUCCCAGCACUAGGUUGGCUCCUUCUAAAUCUAGCAUAAACAAAUCUACUAACAUGCUGACCCCUUGAAUAUUCAAUUGCACUUCCUUGCAAAUUUUGUCACACCUUAGAUAUGCCCCACUGCCUGUAGAUACUAAAAAUGAGGGAAUAGGCGUUACUGGAAGUUUCAAGAAUUCAGCCACUCCACAUUGCAAGAAGUUAUGUGUUGACCCAUAGUCCAUUAAUACAGAUACUCUGCAAUUACUAAUAACUGCCGUUAAUUUAAGAAUUUCGGGACUGACUUGGCCCUCUAGAGCAUGCAUACCAAUAUGUGUAGUUUCAGCUCUAAUUUCCUCCACAGCAUCAACAAAAUUUUCUUCUUCCUCCAGUGGAUCAGUAUACUCAGAAAAACAAUUGCCAUUUGCGGAUAAUAAAAAUAGCCUGCCCUUGCAUUUAUGGCCCUUUUCCCAUUUUUCAAUACAGUUGAAGCAUUCAUUUUUAGACCUUUUAACUUUCAUCUCUGCUGGUGUUAACUUCUGCCUAACCAUCGGGUUUCUAGAAGCAGAUGCAGUGUUAGAAGGUAGAGGUUUGCCCACUGCUGAAUUUCUGUGAAACAGAAUUUUGUGCUGUAUAUGAUAUUAUUAUUUGGCUUGGACAGAAUCUAUCCACAUCAGAACCCAAAUCCACCUUUUCAUAUAAUUGUGCUAACGCAAAGGCUUCUACCAAACUGUUUGGCUUAGCUUUGAUCACGUCUUUUUGGAUGUCAUCCUUCAGUCCUGACAUAAAUAUCUCCUUGAUCACCAGAGGAUUAACAUCAUCCACCUUAUUGACCAUCGCUUCAAAUUUGUGCUGAUAUUCUUUCACCGUUCCUGUCUGAAUUAACUUGCUCAAUCGCCCAGCUGGAAUUUCAUAAGCCGAAGUUCCAAACCUCGUUAUGAUGUCAUAUACAAAAUCAGACCAUGAUUUAAUUGCGUUGUUUCUAUCUGCCCAUAAUAAUCAUUCUAGUGCCUCUCCCUCCAUAUUGAAGGUUGCCACUGUAAUUCUCUCUUCAUCCGGAAUGUUGUGGUAUCUUAGGUAUUUCUUUGCUUUGUAGACCCAACUUUGGACAUUAGACCCAUCAAAUUUUGGCAUAUCCGUUCUAACUGAUUUUUUAUACUCUGGUUUGGACUCUUCACUAUAUCUCCCUUUAUUUGUUUUUUUGUUUAAGAUCCUCCCUAGAGCUUCGGCCAUUUGAGCUAGAGUUUGCUCCAUCUUGCUAAGUCUCUCAUCUUCGAUAGCCUGUUUUGCUUGAACCCUUUUUAUUUGUAAGUCCAUACUUUCAGCUAUGUUAACUAUCUGGAAUAGUAAACUCUUAGAAUCAACAAUAAUUUAUAGUGAUUCAAGGAUAGAUAUUUGCCUGUUUGGGAUCUAGUUGGGGCCUAGAACAUGCCCUGAGAGAUUUUUGUGUGUGUUUAUGAUACACAAUUCCUUCUUCAGAUCUCCAAGAUGCAUGAUGUGGAUCUGAAAUAUAAUAUUACUCAGAUAUGGCUAUGCAAUUUUUUUUUUAAAGAAAAAUGCGUUCCUUGUUUGGAUCUGUUAAGUACAGAACAUGCUUUUUAUGAGUUUUUUUUUGUAUUUUUUUUUAUAGAAGAACGACUCCUUCUGCAGAUCUUCAGCAAAUCCAGCAAUCCUGUAGCUGUUGGUUGAUGAAGCACACGCCGGCGAGAGGGAUUUGAAAGCACCAGUGAUAGGAGGAAGGAUGGGAAUCGAUGGAGGCAGGGAAUUGAGCAGUGUCUGGGCUGCUUCAGUCGUUACUUGAGGUUAAUUAAAACCCUUCAAUUUGGAAAUUUCAUUGAUAAAAAUAAUAGGUUUUGAAGCAAGGUAUUUAUAUUAUCUAUUACAAUUUUAUUGACUAAAUUACCCUUACUACUUAAAAGAAAUUACAGUUCUCUAAUUCCCUUUGAUUUCUCCAUCGGCCCCUUCCAAUUAGGUUUCAUAACCCGCCAACCUGGUACUCGGGUACCGGUUCCUCCGACUUCGAUUAGCAAUCGCCAAAGCGACAGUUGGGAGAUCGUUAUUCCCUUCCUCUGUCGGUGACUUGGUGACGCCGUCCUCCAACUCGUCGGGUCCAUCUCCCAGGUCCUGGAUCAGCCGUCGCGUCUCCUCCAAUAUCGCGUUCUGGUAAGUCUCCCUAUCAGACUGUUUUCACAUUUCUGUGUUUCUGAAUUAGUUUCAGUAUUUUGUGUAUUUUGAGAUUGAUUUGAUUUAUCUCUAUGUAUGUUUUCUUCUAUCUCUGAAUUAUUUUCAGAGUUUAGAGUUUUGGAAUUGCAGGUUUUCUACUUGGCCUGCUAUUCCUGAAUCACUUUCAGAAUCUUCUUCAUUCUGUGAACUAGACCCUUCUUGGUCUUGUUCUGAGAUUUCUAGAGUGUUUUGGGAAUGAUUUAUUCUUUUUUUCUUAUGCAAGUUAUUAUUUUCAGAAUCUAUUUCAUUAUGCGAAGCAGGCCUUUCUUAGUCUUGUUCUGAGAAGACCCCUGGACCAGUCCUUUGGCAGUUCUGUCCAAUACUUUAUUUUGCUCUUUUAAUGUGUUUUUCUUUUACUGAUGUUCUCUUAUGUUCAGAACAUCUAUAGUUAAAUCCAGUGUUUAAGGUUUCAUUUGAUUGAUUUUUUUUUAUCUCUGAAGGGUUUUUAUAUUGUUCGGAAUUUUGUUUAUUAUUGGACUGAUUUUUUAUCUCUGAAGGGUUUAUAUUAUGUUCUGAAUUAUAUUCAGUUAUGCAUAAUGAUUUUUUAUGAAUCCCUGUUUUAGUUGUCUCAGGGAUUUCUGAGUUUUUGUUUAUUUCAGACUUUGUGUUAUUUGCUGAAUUUUUAUUAAUUUUGCUUUUGAUGGAAUUUUUAUUCCUUUUUAAUUGUGUUUUUGUUUUAUCUUUAUAUUCAUCAAAAUGAAUGAUUUGAUUGUAAAUUUACAUGAUAUUAGUUCAAGUUAUAAUUUUAUUAUUUUGUUUCGUCUUCUUGUUUUCAGAUUUUAUCUUUACAUUCCCAAAUUUCCGCCGGACCAUCUCCUCAUCUAUUGUCGGCGACUUUCAUAGGUAUUUUUCUUUCUUUUUUAAAAAUCCAAAUAAAUAUGAUGUGAAUGUAAUAAAUAAAAUGCAACUCAUGAAUCCCGGCCCCAUGAAAAUCUUUUAAAAAUGCAAGCCAUGUAAUAAAUAAAAUGCAACCCAUGUAAUAAAUUUCAUUUUUCUUUCUUUCUAAAUGAAAAGAAAAUCUUUAAUUUCAUUAAAAAUCUUUAAUUUUAUAUAUCCCCAUGAAUCAGAUAAUACUAAUUUUCAUUGUUUACAAGUAGAUAGCUAUUGAUUUCAUUAAUAAAAAUAUAACUUUAGAAAAAUUCUGUCGGCAGGCCGAGCUGAGCCUGCCGAG
rnacentral:lncRNA from 1 species